UACGGAGGGUGCAAGCGUUAAUCGGAAUUACUGGGCGUAAAGCGUACGUAGGUGGUUUGUUAAGCCAGAUGUGAAAUCCCCGGGCUCAACCUGGGCACUGCAGUUGGAACUGGCAAGCUAGAGUAGGGUAGAGGGGUGUGGAAUUCCAGGUGUAGCGGUGAAAUGCGUAGAUAUCUGGAGGAACAUCAGUGGCGAAGGCGGCACCCUGGACUAAUACUGACACUGAGGCACGAAAGCGUGGGGAGCAAACAGG
rnacentral:rRNA from 1 species